rnacentral:ncRNA from 1 species
AGCGAAGCUGCUUAGAGGCUGUAGAAUUGUGCUACGAAGUACAGAAAUGCCCCGGCAUGGAAGCCGGGGCAAGGAGCUAUCGAGCCAUGGAUGGCGAGUAGCGACGGUUUCGUCAGGCAUAGAAAACCAAAAUCACAAUUCGUACAGCCACUUAGCAGCGAAGC